GGUGCCUGCGUUAUACCCACGGACGCGUGUGCCGACUCCCGGUCUCCCGAGAACCUAAAGUCGGUGACCGGUUCCAGCGUGAUAUGCACUCGAGCGUGUGUUCCUUUCCUCGCCUCGUCUUCUGCGAUGACGCCCCGGUUCUCCGAUCGCUGGCACCGGCAUCGACUCCGGCGUUGCCGCCCCCCACCGUGCCCGUUUGUUCGUCCGCACUUCCAUCCAUGCUUCCCGGUUGGCAUGGGAGCCGCUGACGAAGAUAUUGAUUCUUGGGUGAUUAGGUAUGUUCAAAGCUGAUCGUGGAAAGCGAAUCCACCGCUGUCAACGGUCAUCGACGGCUGCCGGAGCUCUUGGUAUCCUCGGAGAGGAGGUUGGGUAGGCAGGGUUUGCACUUCUUGCGUCGGACGGAGAUAGGGUUUCCCCAGGCUUGCUUGAAACAACAGACCUCCCAAACUCGAAAUAUCUUUGAAAUGUAAAAUUUACAACCUAGUCACGUUUCCAACACAUUCCUCCAUAAUCUUGGUACGCUCCAUCGGUGGUUAAUUCAUCUUCAUAACCUUCCACACCAAGUAGAGCCUCUGUUGUUAGUAUACAUCCAAGAGCUUGAGAACGCUCCGAGUCUCUAUCACAGGAGCAGCCUACACUUGCUGAGGCAAGAUAAUUGCUUGCUCGAAGGGUAAAAGCACAGAUGAGUUGAGAAAACCUUUGACCGACAAGGAGACAUACAGUACCUUUUUCAACUCUCUUGACCAGGCGAAAAAUUGAAUUUGAGAGUCACACUGAAUUGCUUACUUUUCAUUCCGUUUUUCAUGUUCAAUAGUGUUUCUCUAAAGCGUUCUUUUAUGACAACUGAAUUCUUAAAUCAGCUUUGUCACCCUCUCUUUUCGGCAUAAGUUGAUAGGGAAACUUUUCUUAGCUGGGUUCAGUUUAUUUUGCCCCAUAUCGAUAUUGACCCAUUUGUCAAUAGCAUUUCUGCUACCAUUCAGUUGCCAUUCGCUAGCAUCAAUGAUUUUCUUACAAUAUUAUAAGCAUGAAAAGACUUGUGUUCACCAAUCUCAGCAUGCCAAUGAGUGGCAGAUGGAUCUUCACACAAUGAUUUUCUUAGGGCUGUCAAUAGAUUUGGUCGGAAUAGAGAUCUGACUUAAAAGAAAAAAGAUGCUCGAGCUUAUGAAAGCAGGACCUUAGGUCCUGUUCAAGCAUGUGACCUUGAAGUCCAAAUUAGUUUGGGCAAGGGCCUAGCUUGACAAGGAGCCAAAUCUCAAGGUAUGCAAGCCUCGCCGGUUCUGUAUUAGGCAUGAGGUUUCAACCCUAGUUUGAAAUAAGGCCAAAGCUCAGCUUGGCCCAUUGACACAUUUGACCAUCUAUGGAAUUCCAAUUCUCAGCUAUACACCCAAAUCUUACCACUUGUGAGCCCAUUUUCUUCUUUUGUUUUACAAAACAAAAAGAAAAGAAAAAUGUGAGCUAAUAAGUAAUAUGUUACAGCAAAUCUUUCUCUCGUAUCCCUUUGAACCAUCGUUACAAGCAUACAAUAAUAGUCCUUUGCAUGUCAUGGAAAAAUAACCAGCCAACCACAAGAAUGUUCUCUUCUUUGUGAGUGUAAGUCACCCAUGCACUUUUGAAGAGUGCCAUAAAUUAUAAAUAUAUUGCAAAAUAAGUAAAAUUAUCUCCAGCAAGCGAUGUUGACCAUUAAUAUCUCCAACAACUAGUUUGGCAUAUAAUAUAGUCAAGUAUCUUCUAUACCUUCUCACUUCCCCAAUCCAGCCUUGUUCAAAUGCAGACAUCUCCAACAAUAACAUGCCUUGCACUAUGCAGCCCUGCAUUUGACCCUAAAAGGUGAUUUAUCUCCAUUGGUGAGUGCUUCACAAGUGUUACUUGACCUGGCAACUUGUCCCAACGAUAGGCACUGAACAAUAGAAAAGAGCCACAUAUUAGGCUUAGUCCUACACAUACCUUCAAGCUCACUGACGUCAAUAGGGAUGCCCGAAGGUCGAUGCAUUUUUUUUAUCCUUUUAUCUUUAAGAGAGAGAGAGAGAGAUUAUUAUAAAUUAUCCAAGUUCAAAUACUGGAAGAUUCAUUUGAUCUUUUCAGGAGUAGAGGUGUGGCCACUGCAGCAAAGGCCAGUUAAUUAAGAUUGGCCAUUUGACAUAAGAAAUUUUUUAACUAAACUAGCCUAUUAAAUUGGUAGGUUGAUACCAAAAAUAGGCUCGUUUGGAUUAGUACUAGAGCCUAAACCAAUCAACAUUAGUUUUUUUUUUGAGUAAAUUACAAAAAUUCCCUUGAGGUUUAUGUUUAUUACACUUAUGCCUACUAGUUUAUAAAACCUACAUUUGCACCUAGUUAAAUUAAUAGCGUUAGUAAAUCCGUUUACCACAUAGAAAAAGUCAAAAUUGCCCCUACACGAUGAGUGAAUUGCAAAAAGCUCUAAGAUUAGGGGUAAAUUAUACUUACAUUCAAUAGUUUGAAAAAUCUACACUUAUCCUCCUGGGGUUUGUUUUUAUCCAACACUUUAAUCCAUAAUUUAAUAGAAUGUUAGCUAAACCAUUAACUUAAAUGGGACUAAAUGUCACGUUAGAAAAAAUUUAAUAAAUGACGAAACUAGCCUUAAGUGAUAUAACAUUUAUCCAAGGAGGAGAACAACUGUCAGGCGCCAUGGGUCUGAGCUUGAUCUUGAUGAAUUAUCAAAAAAGAGCCAUGUGUCAAGAAAAAAAUAAUUUAGAUCUCUUAAGCAAGUGGAUGUCUCUAAAAUUUUCUGUUGCAGAAACUAACAUUAAGAGUUUUGUCACUUGAGCCAGCCUGUCAAUGGUCCAAGCCAAGCUAUGGAAUCGCAACUGAUGCAACAUCCAAAAAGAAGAGUUCUCAUGCACGUAUUGAUUUGGAUCCUCUUGAUGAUAGCAUGCUAGAGCUAUAUAUAUAGGAAUUCUCAUUCACAGCGACAAUAUUAAGAAAUCAUAUCUAUAGUAUUGGACAAGUAGAACUCAAAAUCAGCAAAUAAAACACCGACAUCCCGAUUUCUAUGAUGUGGUGGGUGGGGAAGUGAGUACAAAAUCUGAUUAGAAAGGAUGAAGGCUGGUCAGGAAGGAUGCUCGUCGUCGGACGUCGGUUGGGAAGGAAGCUUGUUGUUGGUCGCUCGACGAGAAGGGACGCUUGUAGUGGGGGGUGAAGCGGGAAAGAACCCCUAGCCGCUUAAUCUCGAAGAGAAGAAGACUCUUGAAGAUGUAAUAUUUUGAAGAGUUUCGAGAGUCGGAAAAGUGAAAGAGGAGCUUUAUUUUUUUAUAGAGGUAAUUUUGACUUUUUACAAUAGAUAAACAGUUUCACUAACGCUGUUAAUGUAAAUGAGUGUAAGUGUAUGUUUUUAUAAAAUAUUGGGUGUAAGUGUAAUAAACAUAAACCUCAAAAAGGUUUUUUUAAGAUUAUUUUGGCCAUUUUCAAAAAUUUUUCUGACAUGGCAUUUGGGUCCUAUUAAAAGUUAAUGGCUUGACUAACAUUGUUAAGUUAUGGGUUGAAGUAUUGGAUAAAAAUAAACCUCAGGAGGGUAAGUGUAGGUUUUUCAUACUAUUGGGUAUAAGUGUAAUUUACUCCUAAUCUCAGGGUGCUUUUCGUAAUUUACUCCUUUUUUUUGAGAGAGAGAGCAACCACUGCAAGGUAUAUUUGCAGUUCAAAUAGGACUAGAACCUACACAAGUUGCAGUUAGGUAUUUUUUGUAAAGAAAAAUCACUUGCAGGUAUAUUAGCAUCCAAAUAGGAUAGUUUAGCAAACCCAAAACCAUACAAAUCUGGGCCCAAGUAAGCUGGACCUUGUCUACAACUGAUCUAACCUUGGCUUUACUUUUAUUAUUUACUGAUAUAAAUUUUAAACUUUAAAAAUUUAUUCUCUAAAAAAGAAAUUAUAUAAAACUAUAGUUUGACUGGCUAUAUGUUUCUUCUCAUUCCCUGAACUUCCAAGCAAGCUAAGCCUUGUCUGGAAGAAAAUGAGAACCCCUCUCCAUCAUUCCCUACUCCCCACCCCAAUAGGCAGCAUCAAUAUGGAUUUAGGUUGCUGAUAGAAAGAAUUCAUAUCAUAAAUAAAAUUCAAGCACUCGAAAUUUCCCAGUCCUAGAAGGAGUACUUAUAGAAAGAGUCCACAUUCUAGUCAUAUGUAGACCUGAAGUUAUAGUCUUACAGUUUAACCGUUGAGUUUAAAUACUAGCACUCAUGCUGAUAUCAAAAUCAAAGAAGAGAAUUUCUUUUAUAAAAAAAAAGUUGCACCAUCCAUCUAGUGUUCCAUCCUCUACCCUUUGUUUUUGUACAAUAGGAGAGAAUUUGGUGGGUAAUAUACCUGGAAGACAAUUACUUCAACCUAGGAAUUUGUAGGCUCUCCAAUACUUUAACCAUUUUUGCUAAAAGAUCUAUUCCUACAUAUAUAAGCAGAGAGAGAGAUGCUGCUGCAGGCCAACUCAUCAGAGAGAGAGAGAGAGAGAGAGAGAGAGAGAGAGAUCGAUCCUGACAUUUACAAAUGCAUUUAAUUUGCUUUUAUUUAUUUAUUUAUUUAUGUAUUUUUAUUUUUAUUUAUUUGAGCCUUUUUCUUCCCAUGAUGUCUAUCAUAUAAAAGCUGAAUGUAGAUACAAACUCUCUCCUUUGGUUUUGUCAUCACAGAAGACUCUGUUCGUCCUUUGUUUCUUCUGUUUCUUUUGUGAAGACUUUUAUCCUGCUGUCGCAGAUGGAGACAGAGGACUGUUCUAUGCCAUGUCGUCACCAUUCAUCCCUUUAUAUUGAGUUGUCGGUGAGGCGGUAACCGUUCAUCCCUUUAUAUUGAGUUGUUGGCGAGGCGGUCUCAUUCAUCUAUUCUGUCUGGUUUCCAUCCUCACCAACUUCUGCAAUGGAGAAAUCCUUUUCUCCUCUUCCCUUCCUCCUCCUUUAUCUACUCUUCUGCCUCUCUCUGUUCCAUAUUAAGUUUGUUAGUGCCUUUGGAACUGUUGAUGGAUCGGAGCAGUGGGGCUAUGUUCAAGUCCGCCCGAAAGCCCACAUGUUCUGGUGGCUUUACCGGAGUCCACAAAGAGUUGAGAAUGCUUCAACUCCAUGGCCUACAGUACUCUGGCUGCAGGGUGGACCUGGAGGGUCAGGUGUCGGGAUUGGGAACUUCCAAGAGAUCGGACCGUUGGAUACCAGUCUAAAGCCACGAAAUUCGACAUGGCUGCAAAAAGCUGAUCUCCUUUUUGUGGACAACCCAGUUGGGACUGGAUACAGUUUUGUAGAGGAUGAAAAGCUUCUGGUAAAGACUGAUUGGGAGGCAGCAACUGACUUACUUACCCUUCUCAAGAAGCUCUACAAUAAGAACGGGAGCUUACAAAAAAGUCCGCUCUUCAUUGUGUCAGAGUCUUAUGGAGGAAAAUUUGCUGUGACUCUUGGCUUAUUGGUUGUCAAAGCCAUUAAGGCUGGAAGAUUGAAACUUAAACUUGGAGGAGUUGUUUUGGGAGAUAGCUGGAUUUCGCCAGAAGAUUUCGUGUUCUCGUGGGGACCUCUGCUUUUAGAUGUCUCAAGGCUCGGUAUCAAUGAUGCGAACAGAUCAAACAGUGUAGCUGAAACGAUUAGACAACAACUAGUGGAAGGGCAGUAUUUCGAGGCCACAAUAACAUGCCAAACUCUGCAGAGUCAGAUUGUCAGGGACAGUCACGGUGUUGAUUUUUAUAAUUUCUUGCGGGAUGUUGGAAGCUACCCUAUCUCUGGGAUGGCAGUGGCAUUAUCAGAGAAAAUAGACAUGAAGAAGAGUUACUCGAUGUAUCUCAGCUCCAAUGCUUCCUCUCUUGAUCUUGGUAGUCUCAUGAAUGGUGUAAUUAAGGAGAAGCUAAAGAUAAUCCCCAAGAAUAUAAGUUGGGGUGGACAGUUCAAUUCCGUCUUUAACGCUCUGAUGAACGAGAACAUGAAACCCAGGAUCAAUGAGGUUGAUGAGCUACUAUCCCUGGGAGUCAAUGUCACUAUCUAUAAUGGACAAGUAUGAAUUCCGUCAACUCACUUCAUUGUAGUCUUCACUAAGUGACCCAAAAAAAGUUGGCUACCCCUGGAAUGAUGCAAAUACAUUAUAAAAGCUAAAGUCACCUAUUACUGGGAAAAGAAAAUUCUGAGGAACAUGUAGUAACAUCUAUGGUAUAGAUGUUGCACACAUGAAUACCUCUUAUGUAUUUAAGAUUUGUUUUCCCCCAACUUAAGAGGCUUUGUGAACGAUACACUC